UACGGAGGGUGCAAGCGUUGUCCGGAUUUAUUGGGUUUAAAGGGUGCGUAGGCGGCUAUUUAAGUCAGUGGUGAAAGACUCCGGCUCAACCGGAGCAGUGCCAUUGAUACUGGAUAGCUUGAGUAUUGGAGGGGUACAUGGAAUUGAUGGUGUAGCGGUGAAAUGCAUAGAUACCAUCAGGAACACCGAUAGCGAAGGCAUUGUACUGGCCAAUAACUGACGCUGAUGCACGAAAGCAUGGGUAGCGAACAGG
rnacentral:rRNA from 2 species